CCUACGGGAGGCAGCAGUGAGGAAUAUUGGUCAAUGGGCGAGAGUCUGAACCAGCCAAGUCGCGUGAAGGAUGAAGGAUCUAUGGUUUGUAAACUUCUUUUAUACGGGAAUAAAGUGAGAAACGUGUUUUCUUCUGUAUGUACUAUAUGAAUAAGCAUCGGCUAACUCCGUGCCAGCAGCCGCGGUAAUACGGAGGAUGCGAGCGUUAUCCGGAUUUAUUGGGUUUAAAGGGUGCGUAGGUGGUUAAUUAAGUUAGAGGUGAAAGUUUCGGGCUCAACCAGAGAACUGCCGUUGAUACUGGUUGACUAGAGUGUAGAUGAGGUAGGCGGAAUGUGUGGUGUAGCGGUGAAAUGCAUAGAGAUCAUGCAGAACACCGAUUGCGAAGGCAGCUUACUAAUCUAUAACUGACGCUGAGGCACGAAAGCGUGGGGAGCAAACAGGAUUAGAUACCCGAGUAGUC
rnacentral:rRNA from 1 species